rnacentral:snRNA from 1 species
AUGGAGAUGUGGGUGAGUAUGA